rnacentral:lncRNA from 1 species
CUGAUUUUAUGUAGGGAGGUAAUCGAAUGUUCUGUCCUCUGUAGCUGCAAUAUUUUUCCUCAUUCGACUUGCUACUGUAUUUGUGCCGGAGAACAAUAAUAUGAUGCUUUGAACGGUUUGUGAUCUUGCAUAUGCCUUCUGAAACCACCCAUAGGAUUAAUUCCCUGCACCAAGAUUUGCUAGACGCUUGGAAGUAGAAAUGCAACAGGAAACAGAACAAUAAGCAACCAGAAUGAGAAAUCCACCACCUGAGUGCUGAUACCAGCAUUUAUGUCACGCCCCGAACCCCGAGCGCGCGCACAUCCCACUGCGGUCGAUAAAAAAAUGCGACAUCCCAGGAUAUGUCGCCGACCCAUUCAUUUCUUUACGCAUGCGGAAGCGAAACAAAUCCCCUGACAACAUUUAACUUGGGAUAGAAAAGCAGGCAAUCAAUCACAAUACCAAACACUCAUUUACAAACACAAAAGGGGUUUAAAUACAACACUGGACUUUCUACAAAAUAGACCAGCUCGACAAAAGGGGGGAUUAUCCUACAACCAACUAGCAGGACACGCUCUUCAACCCUUAUGACUUCACCUCUGCAACUCCUCAAGGCCAACCAAAGCUAUAUGGCCGCUCCGUCCACCAGGGACCUGAAAUUUUAAUCCCACAACCGGGAUGAGACGAUGUCUCAGCAAGUUCAACCCCCUAAACCCCUAUUAGAAAGAAAAUACGCCCCGGGUGGCCUAGCCACAUCACACAGAAGACUUACCUCGCCUCAGCCCUUAUCUGCAGGUUAGCACAAUUUAUAUAAACCAAUCACGUGCAAUUAUGAUAACCAAACAACCAUGGCACAAUCACAUCAUCAAACCAUUCAACCACUUGGAUCGUCUCAGCGAUCAAUCGACUCGGCCGAUUUCAUGUCAUUCUAGCAAAUCAAUCAUUGCUCUCAACUACGGCCCUACUCGGCAAAUUUAAAUCAGUGGCAUCACGGCCCCACUCGGCGCGACCUUUAACAGGUGGCAAUUCACGGCCCCAUUGGGCGCGACCUCUAAUAGGUGGCAUAUCACGGCCUCAUCGGGCACGACCUCUAAUAGGUGGUUUAUCACGGCCUCUCUGGGCACGACCUCUUAGAGGUGGUUUAUCACGGCCUCUCUGGGCACGACCUUUCACAGGUGGUUUAUCACGGCCUCUCUGGGCACGACCUCUUAGAGGUGGUUUAUCACGGCCUCUCUGGGCACGACCUCUAAUAGGUGGUAUUUCACGGCCUCAUCGGGCACGACCUCUUGUAGGUGGUUUUUCACGGCCUCAUCGGGCACGACCUUUCCAAGGUGGUUUAUCACGGCCUCUCUGGGCACGACCUCUAAUAGGUGGUAUUUCACAGCCAAUCUCCCAUCAGUUUCUACACUUAGGAUUUCAUAAAGAAUCCCUAUAAAUCACAAUCACACUCAAUUCAUCACAAUCAAUCAUCAAUUUCACAUUCUACAAGCAUAGCAACAAUCGGCACGAAAUUCUGAGCAAAUAAGGUCCCAAUGAAAAUUUUCGGAAUUUAAUAAAUAAUUAAAUUUAUUCCGAGAAUAAUUAAAUAAUAAUAUCCAUAGUUUUCGAAAUCCACACUCAAUUUAUAAUAUCCAAUCAUCAAUUUCAAAUUCCGACUACACAGCAACGACCGGCACGAAAUUCUGAGAAUUUAAGGUCUCGACAAAAUUUUCGGAAUUUAAUAAAUAAUUUAAUUUAUUCCGAAAAUAAUUAAAUAAUAAUAUUUUAUUAAUUUCGAAUAAAAUAUAUUAUUAAAUUAUAUAAUAAUUUCGAGACAUUUAAAUAAAUCAAAAGUAAAUUAAUUUAUGCCAAAUCAAGGCUUAUUUUAAAUAAACCUACUUACCCUUAAUUAAGCACACUUUAAAUUAAACCACAACCUUAAUCAAGUCUACUCUUAAUUAACCUAAACUAACAACCUAAUAAUGCUUAACAUAAACUAAACCUCCCUAAGCAUAAUUAACCCUCUAAGCGAGGUUUAGUGAGCUAAACUCACCGGAUUAGUGAGCCGAGCGGACCAAAACGACGAGGGCGACGCGAGGAUCGACUUUCCUCAAAGCGGGCCGAGCAUCCGGGCUCGGGAAGGCGGCCAAAACGGGCCAAGAAGGGGCUGCCAUACCCAUUUUCUGCGGCUGCUGUCCAUGGCGGUUUGAGGCCGAGAAUGGGCGGAUCCGGCGCCGGUUGAGGCGCACAAGGGCCGAGGGACUUCCGGCGAGCUGAGGCGGGGGCGCAUGGCGGCUCACGGCGGCGGGGACGAGCUCCGGCAGCUCCCGGAACCCACGAACCGAGACUGAGACGCAGCUGGGCGUCGGCCAAGCGCGGGCGAGCGCGGGCGGACGGGCAGCGACGGCGACGCACAGCAGCGGCGAGCAAGCGGCGAACGGGGACAGGCGGAGGCGUGCGACGGCUCCGGGCAACGUUGGCUGCUGCUUCUGCUUGGCGUCCGACCAGAUCUGAGAUCUCGAGCAGCAAACGGAAGGGGAGAAAGGAGGCGGAGCAGCACACCUGCGGGCGAGUGGAGCGGCGAACGGCGACGGCGUGACCUCCGGCUGGCGUUCAAGCGGCGACGAGCGAAGGGGGGGGAGGUCGGCCGAGCUUCUGGUUCGCACGGCCUCUCUCUCCCUCUCUCCCUCUCUCUCUCUCUCUUCCCUCCCUUUCCAAGUUCCAAGACUCCCUUGAUUCAAGGAGGAAGAUGAUGGUGAUGGGUCACCUUUUCUCGGGCAAAUCUCCACCGUCCACGUGUCAAGAUCUCAACCAUUGGCCUCAACUACCAUGACAUCAUCUCAUGUCAUACCCCACUAUCUCCAAACCUUCCACAACAUUUUCCAAUGGU